rnacentral:rRNA from 1 species
GGUAAAAAGCUCGUAGUUGGAUUUCUGUGGAAAACGUCCGGUCCGCACUUCGUGCGUGUAUCUGGCACGGUUUCUGCAUCCUCGCGGGGAACGUUUGCGCUUCAUUGCGUGGGCGGGAUUCGUGACUUUUACUUUGAGGAAAUUAGAGUGUUCACGGCAGGCUUUCGCCUUGAAUACAUUAGCAUGGAAUAAUAAUAUAGGACCUUGGUUCUAUUUUGUUGGUUUCUAGAGCUAAGGUAAUGAUUAAUAGGGAUAAUUGGGGGCAUUC